rnacentral:rRNA from 1 species
AAUAGAUACCCAGGUAGUCCACGCCCUAAACGAUGUCUACUAGUUGUUGGGUCUUAAUUGACUUAGUAACGCAGCUAACGCGUGAAGUAGACCGCCUGGGGAGUACGGUCGCAAGAUUAAAACUCAAAGGAAUUGACGGGGACCCGCACAAGCGGUGGAUGAUGUGGAUUAAUUCGAUGCAACGCGAAAAACCUUACCUACCCUUGACAUGUCAGGAACCUCCGAGAGAUUGGAGGGUGCCCGAAAGGGAACCUGAACACAGGUGCUGCAUGGCUGUCGUCAGCUCGUGUCGUGAGAUGUUGGGUUAAGUCCCGCAACGAGCGCAACCCUUGUCAUUAGUUGCUACGCAAGGGCACUCUAAUGAGACUGCCGGUGACAAACCGGAGGAAGGUGGGGAUGACGUCAGGUCAUCAUGGCCCUUAUGGGUAGGGCUACACACGUCAUACAAUGGCCGGUACAGAGGGCUGCCAACCCGGCGAGGGGGAGCUAAUCUCAGAAAACCGGUCGUAGUCCGGAUCGCAGUCUGCAA